GCCCCCGUAGCUCAGAGGAUAGAGCGCUGGCCUCCGGAGCCAGGUGCGUGGGUUCGAGUCCCACCGGGGGUA
rnacentral:tRNA from 1 species